rnacentral:lncRNA from 1 species
CUAGGUAAAAUUCUAGAUAUCAAUCACUUAGUCAAAAUCAAUUACAUAUUCUGGCUUAAAAAUCUAAGAAUUAUUCUUAGUUUCUAAAAAAUUAUGCCAUGUCUUGACCAGGUUAUCCUUAUGUCAUCAACCUAUCCAAUCCAUAGUCAAUGAGCUAUACUUGACAAAUGGCUGGACAAUGACAAUGAAGUUUGGUGCUAUAAACUGGAGCCCA